UCUGAGCUCUUGGAAUCCCGAAUUGAGCGGUUGCAAUAAAAGCGAAGGACAGCAAUGAAAGUAGAAAAAGAGCGCUUGCAGGUCUAUGGAGUAAGGAAAUCAUCUUGUAAUUAUUCUUCCUUUCCUUUUUUUUUAUCCCCA
rnacentral:ribozyme from 12 species